CAGCCUGCCAGGUCCUGCGGCCCAGGCUCCACUUCCGGGUCCUCCCUGCUCGCUUGGAGCCGGUCUUCUCGCUGGGAGGGCCUAGCCCGGUAUUUUUGGCUUGGGGGUAUUAGGUUUUGUGGAAAGGGGAAAGUGAAAGUCCUCGGAGUUAGGGAAACGCCGCGGAUAUAUUCAUUGACCAGUCUGGAUCCUGGGCGCACCUCGAGGCAGGCUCCCGCUUCUAGGUCCCCAAGAAAGAAGGGGAAGCAGCACCUGUCCUCUCCAGGUCCCCGCCCCCAGACUGAGGACUGAUCUUCCUGGGCCAAGGCCGAAAACCCUAUGAGUUCACCCCAGUCUGGUGGCUUCCACCAUGGUGCCCUCCAGAGGGCUCACUGGAGGGUCUGGGCAGGAGAAGCCCCAUGGCGAGCAGGAGGAGCAGUAGGUGCGACGGAGCCCUGUUACCGGCUCUCCAUCUUCAGGGAGGGGUUUGUCCAGUCCCCUCUCUGUGGACCAGGGCUAAACCAACCCAUGGAAACACCGUCCUGGAACAGCAGGAAGUCAUGGAAGACUGGCACACCCAACUCUAUGGAAAGCUAGAGGCGUCCCAGCAAGAACCGCUUUUGGAAACAACUUAGGUGAUUUAAAUUAAUUUCCAGGCAGUGCCAAGGAGACUUAAGAUAGCCACAGCUUUCCCAUUGCCGCAACUGGCAAACAGUUACUGUACAUUUACUUUGUGCCCACAAGCUCCAUAAGCACUUAGAGUCUGGUUCCAUUCCCUUUGCCUGCUUGGCCUUUUUCAGCCUGCUAUUGCCUCUUUCUUCUGUGAGUUGGCCAAUGCCUCUCUUCCCAGUGGUUGCUUGGGCUUUUCCAUUCCCUGUACUUAAUCAAACCCACCUCCGCUCACUCUUCUCUUUCUCCAGGGCAGCAGGGGUUGGGAGAAAGCUGAAGCAAACCAAGGCAAAAUCAAGAAGCAAAGGCAGUAAAACUGCAAGUGAGUUUGGUUUAGCUCCCAGCUUUGGCGUGCUCAGGCCAUCCGCAGUGGGCGAGCUGGGUUCCUAAAGGACGGGGUCGGAGCCUCACCAAGCCACCUAAAACCACUCCUCCAAAGAUCAGCCAAGGGGAAGCCACUCAGGCUGAACUCUGAUCGACUGGGACAAAGAAAAUAGUACCCAUGCCAGCCUUCCUCCCUCUAGGAAUUCUUAAGUACUUAACCCUGAUUCUGUACAUUCCGUAAGUCACGCUUUGCUUCUAUCAAAACUCAGAUGUAACAAAAUAUACACAGGGGAUAAUGUCUAGGUUGUGGACCUAGAUGCUCAACCCAGUUUCUUCCCAUCCCUCCUAACCUUCAAACCUGUCUCAGUCGUAUAAUCUAUGACUCAAACUAUUAUUUAACCGUGAAAAAAAGACAAACCAGGAAAUUAGAGGCUGAAUGACCUAAAAUUUAUUCCAUUCAGCUGAGCUAAUCUCCUAAUAAGGGUGUGUAUAAUAAUAAGUCAUAAUAUAUCUGUUCUGGAAGAUGUGAACAUUGCAGAGAAAAAAGUGCAUGGUGACUGCACAUCCCAACUUGUCAAGAUUUGUCCUCAAAAGGGUAAGUGCCUGGUCCUUAGCCAAGUUGCCUAGCAGUUUGCUAAACGAGUCUCAACAUUUCGGAACCAAUGUGCUGCAGUGGAGAGCACCCAGUGUUCAGGCUGACCACAUUCGGACCCUGGCGCUGCUGCUUCCUAGGCAAGCAAGGGGCCUACCUGCCUUCCCUUAGUCUUCUCCACUGUGAAAUGGCAGUGACAGCAAUACGGACCUCCUGGGGCUGCCGUAAGGACAGAUGAGCAAAGCACUUGGCACGUGUGAGCUGCCCGCCUCCCUAAAAGCACCCCUCGUCAACUGUUGCUGUAUGUUAAACAGCGAAUUGGCAAGACCAAGAAGGUUGGAGGCCCCACAAAGUGGGGUUCCACGGAGUCACUGGAACACAGUCAAGUAUCCUGAGCAAGAGAGAGAAGAGUGUCCCAGAGGAGGCCCAGGCAGCUGGCGGGUAGAGUGCCGCACAGAAAGCCAAGGACAGCCACUCACAGCCGGGACGUCCGCGUGGGUGGG